CUUUAACGUCACGGGCGGGGUCUGAACAGACCCCACGCGCUGUUUUUUAACGAUAAUUUUUGAAAUUGUCUAAUUACGAACGCGUGUUUCCGGCUAAUCUCAGUGCGACGCGAAACCUAUCGGCGAGUGGACGUACGUCGCUCUUGUGCUAAGAAUUGGUGUUGAAUAAAAGGAAAAAUGAGUCGCCGACUAACUGAAUAUUAAAUUGAUCAAAUCAUACACGAUUUUAGUGACUCAGAAAGCGAAGGCAUAGGAGACACGCCUCAAGAGAAUAUUUUGGAAGAAGUGGGUGAUAUAAGUGACUGUAAAUCUAUACAUAGCGAACAUAA